rnacentral:rRNA from 1 species
GAUGAACGCUAGCGAUAGGCUUAACACAUGCAAGUCGAGGGGCAGCAUGGUCUUAGCUUGCUAAGACUGAUGGCGACCGGCGCACGGGUGCGUAACGCGUAUGCAACUUGCCUCACAGAGGGGGAUAACCCGUCGAAAGACGGACUAAUACCGCGUACACUUGGGAUAGGGCAUCCUGACCCAAGGAAAUGAAAUUCGCUGUGAGAUGGGCAUGCGUCCCAUUAGCUAGUUGGUGAGGUAACGGCUCACCAAGGCGACGAUGGGUAGGGGAACUGAGAGGUUGAACCCCCACACUGGUACUGAGACACGGACCAGACUCCUACGGGAGGCAGCAGUGAGGAAUAUUGGUCAAUGGGCGAGAGCCUGAACCAGCCAAGUCGCGUGAAGGAUGACUGUCUUAUGGAUUGUAAACUUCUUUUAUACGGGAAUAACAAGAGUCACGUGUGGCUCCCUGCAUGUACCGUAUGAAUAAGCAUCGGCUAACUCCGUG